rnacentral:misc_RNA from 1 species
AAGUCGUAACAAGGUUUCCGUAGGUGGUUCGCCUGCGAAUUUAGUCUGCUUAGCAGGCAACAUCUUUACUGUGCUAGAAAUUACAAUUGUAUUACUAGCAGCCUGCUUAGCAGGUUCACAGAUCAAAUAGAGGUGGCCCUUAGGGGUUGAGACAUGAUCGAGUUGAUGCUGAAAUAGCACUGAGAAAUUGGAACCUGCGGAAGGAUCAUUAAAGAGUCAUUAUGGGCUUACACCCUAAUACUCCACCCUUUGUUUACAUUACCUCUGUUGCUUUGGCAGGCCCGUCCUUGUGACCACUGG